rnacentral:rRNA from 1 species
CAGUUUGCGCUCCGAGCUAUGGCGGAGCGCGGCAGACGGCUCAGUAACACGUGGCUAACCUACCCUCAGGACGGGGAUAACCCCGGGAAACUGGGGCUAACCCCCGAUAGGAGCAGACACCUGGAAUGGGUCUGCUCCGAAAAGGAUACAGUACCAUGCUUACUGUAUCCGCCUGAGGAUGGGGCUGCGGCCUAUCAGGUAGUUGGCGGGGUAACGGCCCGCCAAGCCGAUAACGGGUAGGGGCUGUGAGAGCAGGAGCCCCGAGAUGGGCACUGAGACAAGGGCCCAGGCCCUACGGGGCGCAKCAGGCGCGAAACCUCCGCAAUGCKGGUAACCGUGACKGGGUCACCCCGAGUGCCWUCCGAAGAGGAUGGCUUUUUNCCGGWCUANAAANC